GAUUGGUGGAUUGAGUAUUGAAAUUGGUUAAUCGACCGAAAAUGAAAUUCGGGGCAGGAAUUUGAAAUUAACAAGAGUGAAUAUUGAUUAAUUUGAUUCGUUGAUGAUGGUUAUCUGAUUUGAAACGAACAUUGAUUAUGUCUUUGAGCCCAAUAGUGUCACGUUUUUAGAUCAUUAAAUGGGUAGGCAAAUUGAAGAAAUGAAAGAUGGUGAUUUGUUGAAUGUGUGAAUGUUUGUUGAAUGGUUCUUUUUAUUUUUACGCACAAAAUUGAGAAAAUGUAUUCAUUUGAUUGGGGAAUACCCCGAGGAUUCAUGUACUUAUUCACCGGAGAAUGCCCCGACGUAUUAUGUUUUCGAGGGAGGUUCGUGAUCAAGGCCCAAGGCACCGGGUGGAGCGUAGUUAGGAUUAGCGUAGGCUAGCAUAGGUUUACAUUUCAGUAUUUUUAUUUUGGAUUUGUAAUAAAUUGGACUGAAC
rnacentral:lncRNA from 1 species